ensembl:lncRNA
GACAAACCAGCAGGUUUAAUUAUGAAUGAGGGUUUCUGUGUAACUGUACCGUGACAUUACUAAAGGUCAGAAUAAGCUAAAAAUGGUGUUCAGUUGUUGAAACACAGGGAAAGAGGACUAAUACUGUUUUCACACUACCAAACUGUGCUCCAAUGUCAGCCGACAGAAGCCAUGCUUUAGUUAAAAGAAGAGCACGUCGGCCCAGUGCUGAAGAUGUAGUCUACAGUCUCAGAGGGAGGCAGCUGCUGGGAACAACAAAGAAAAAUGGAGUUCCUAUUGAAGGAAUCGUCCACUGAUGCUCUCUAAUGGGUGCUGUUGGGAUGGGAGAAAAGUGUGAGGCUGAUCAACACUGCAUCACAUUCUGUGAUCAAAGAACAAUAUGUGCCCAGUGUUUUUAAACUUGGACUCACUCUCUGUGAAAUGCUGCCCUGGAAGCUUCUCUUUCUUCUUUUCUUAAUAAGGCGUGUUAUCUUCUCUGCGUCCUCUCCUGACACGUCGAGCUGAUAUUCCCCACCGGGGUCGUUUAAGUCUGAACUCGUCUGACCGAACAGAAUCUGCAGCCCAGCUAAGGAAACAAGUCAGUCGCCUGCCUUAACUGCUGUCAUCUUUCCUCAUCUCGUGACACCUCAGUGACACCCAGAGUGGCGCUCGGAGUCGCCUCCACCAACAUCCACCUUUCAAUCACACUUUCAAUUGCAAUUGCCUAAUUCUGUGCUGGGAUUUCAGUCCACGGCGAGGAUAUGAGAUUUGUCAAGCACGAGCCCGGGGAAGAACCUGCAUCGCAUAACGCGUAGACGUGCACCAUUUCCUCAGCAUGUGAACUGCAAUUCAUUUUAUAAAUGUCAGAUGAAGCCUGGCAAGCCAUCCACCCACCCACACACACACACACACACACACACACAAAUAGCGUGGUGGGUAAUAUUCUUAUUAGAGAUCAUUUUGAUUGGCUUCCGCUGCCCUUUUCAUUGUGUGAGCGACAGUGAAGGGAGAGAUGAUGAAGUGUGUGCCUAAAUGUCUGUGUGUGCACACUAUGCAUAUAUGUAUAUAUAUAUAUGUGUGUGUUUGUGUGUGUAUGUGUGUGUGUGUGCGUGCAUGUGUCAGAUGUUGAGGGUUUGAGGGUUUAUGUAAGCAGAGAUUAAAAAUGCAAUAAACCUGCC